GCCAAAAGCAGUUGACAGUCAGACUGCAUCUCAGCCCUGUCAAGAUGGAUCUCCAUAACAGGUUCUCCUAUGUAAGAUAGUCUAGGGUGGGCAGGUCUGCAGUGAUUGAAGGCAUUCUAGAACAUUCUGCAGGAUCAACAAAUGGCUCCAUUGUUAACCCUAACAUAAACUUGCACAGCAAGAAAGGCUGCAGGGAUUUAUGCAAGAUUCAGUUCUGCUGCUCUGAACUUUAUAUAAGCAAAGCUGUCUGAUAUAGUGCUCCUGUAUGCCACCAUCCUAGAUCUGAUGAGUCUUCAUGAGAAAAUGUAAUACACAUUACGUUCCCUGGAAAGUAAUAUAGGGAAAAGUAAAUCAAGGUAAAGAAAUAAACAAAAACUCCAAAGAG